AGAAGAAGCAUAUCUCAAAUCUCAGUUAGUGGCAGAGAAUUGCAACAUAUCGAGGCAAUCUAGAUCGCCUUUCCUCGACUGCUACCUAAUACUUCAAGUAUGGAUGUGAUUAGAAAGCAGUAUCAUAAACUUGGUAAGUACAUGAUUAUAUUUAUAGGUACAAUUCUGCUUUGUUCUCAUCAUGGUGGAAGCGAAGAGUGUUUUCUUGGCAGCUUUGCAACUUCAUCCUGACAAGAACAAGCAUCCAAAGGCUGAAGUUGCCUUCAAGAUUGUCUAGUCUCAGAGGUUAAGUUCAUAGGUUAUAUAUAUUUAUUUUAUGCACACAACAUAUCUUCUAUUUUUGCGCUCCUUAAUAUCCAUUAAACUACUUAAAUUUGAAUUUAAAUUUAAAUUUAAAUUUAAAUUGUUUAAUCUCACAUUCAAACUCUUUAUUUGAUUUAUAAGGUUUCAAUAGCGCAGCAUUUAGUUCAAUAUAUAAAGGGAGUUAUUUGGUUGGUAUUGGUCACGUUUUGAAACUUCUUAAUGCUUUAUUCAUUCCUAAAUUACCCCUAUACCUUUCCCCUCCUCAAUCUUCAUUAAAAUAAAUAAUUUCAAAUUUAGACGACUUAAUUUCCAAUUCAAAUACUUAAUUUGAUCUCUGAAAUUUCGAUGGAUGUGCACACCGUCUAGUACAUAGUAAUGCAAUUGCGUACACACAACCAAGUUCAAUCCGAAUUACGGCAAAGAAAAGAAUACCAUCACGAAAGGAAAUAAUAUGCAUCUAACGUCAAUUGUUAAGUGAUAAUUUACCAAUUUCAUGACAAUUACAUUAAACAGGACAUUCAACCACACAAUAAAGUCCAUCAACACAUUCCAUAAGUAUACAGAAUAAGACAACAUUCGCAAAUAUAACUCUUUGAGAGUGAUAGAGAGGGUCGUACUCGUACCCUUGGAGGUAAAUGUCACUAUCCAACUAAAGCUAAAGCCAUUGAAGACAUGAAAUUACUAAACAAACUUAUUUUUGACAUUUAAAUCACUUCUAGAACAAAUUACGUGGUAGCGGAAAUUUUUGAAAGAACAAAUUACGCGGUAGCGGAAAUUUUUGAAAUUAGGAGUCGUAGUCAUGGGUGUUUGUUUUAAUUUAAGAUGCCAAUAGUAGAAAAUUCUACAUAAUUUGCCAACUAAACUUUCAUUCGGUAGUUAAGGACAGAGAUUACCCGAAUUAGAACAAGGAUCGACUCAAAAUCAUUCCAAAUGCUCGAGAAACAUUUUGUUUAUUAUGGCAGGCCUGCGGAUGCCUUUCUGAAGAGCUACAAACAGAGCAAAGUUCAACUUCCAGAGACAAAAUAGCUGCUGCAGUGAGUGCUGCAACGGAAUAGGCCCUCAUGCUGCGAAAACCAAAGGGGUAUUACCGACACAGAAGUUGAGGUCUCAGAAGAUUAUCCAAGGGUUAAAAGACCUUACAGCCAGAUUUGCAGAAGAGAGAAGGGUGAUAGAGAAUUGUUUGAAGGCUAUUUAUAAUCCAUCGGAUCACUUAUCCUGAGGACGCCCGAGGCAGAGGGCAGGAAUUUACAAGAAACCCGCGAGCUUUCUGUUAGAACAAAUUGUUUGAUUCGGCAAAUA
rnacentral:lncRNA from 1 species